rnacentral:rRNA from 1 species
UACGUAGGCAGCAAGCGUUGUUCGGAGUUACUGGGCGUAAAGGGUGUGUAGGCGGUUGGAUAAGUGUGGUGUGAAAUCUCCCGGCUUAACUGGGAGGGUGCGCUACAAACUGUCUGACUAGAGUGUGGGAUGGGUAAGUGGAAUUCCUGGUGUAGCGGUGAAAUGCGUAGAUAUCAGGAGGAACACCGGUGGCGAAGGCGGCGUCCUGGACCAACACUGACACUGAUGAGCGAAAGCCAGGGGAGCAAACGGG